UGGUUUCUCGUUCUUUUAUUCAUCAUGUGCCGUUAGUCUGCGCGUUCCCGCUUUUAAUGCAUGUCAUUCUCGUGUUUCAGAUCCUUCACACGGAAAACACGGGUUGCUCUAGAAUCCGCAUAGCUCACCAGAGUACUCGUGGCGUGGAUCGGAAAAGCAUGACGACUGCGAAGCAAUAUGUCGGACUCCAAAAGCGCCUCCUGUAACGGGGGAUACACAGGAAAGCUCUAUACGUAGAAAACCAACUGAUGGCAUGACUUCCACGGCUGCCCGGAAUGCUUCCUGUGUUCCUCAACCGUUUCUGUAAAGUCAGUGAGAAACUGCAUCGUGAAAUACAAAAUGUCUGUUUCAGAAGUGCACAAUAAAAUAAUUCAUGUUUAUUUCA